rnacentral:rRNA from 2 species
GGAGCAACGCCGCGUGAGUGACGAAGGCCUUCGGGUCGUAAAGCUCUGUUGUUAGGGAAGAACAAGUACCGUUCGAAUAGGGCGGUACCUUGACGGUACCUAACCAGAAAGCCACGGCUAACUACGUGCCAGCAGCCGCGGUAAUACGUAGGUGGCAAGCGUUGUCCGGAAUUAUUGGGCGUAAAGCGCGCGCAGGCGGUCUUUUAAGUYUGAUGUGAAAGCCCACGGCUCAACCGUGGAGGGUCAUUGGAAACUGGAGGACUUGAGUGCAGAAGAGGAGAGUGGAAUUCCACGUGUAGCGGUGAAAUGCGUAGAUAUGUGGAGGAACACCAGUGGCGAAGGCGGCUYUYUGGUCUGUAACUGACGCUGAGGCGCGAAAGCGUGGGGAGCAAACAGGAUUAGAUACCCUGGUAGUCCACGCCGUAAACGAUGAGUGCUAGGUGUUGGGGGGUUCCACCCUCAGUGCUGAAGUUAACACAUUAAGCACUCCGCCUGGGGAGUACGACCGCAAGGUUGAAACUCAAAGGAAUUGACGGGGGCCCGCACAAGCAGUGGAGCAUGUGGUUUAAUUCGAAGCA